ACUACGGUACUGAAGUAACAAAUGCCCUGCUUCCAGGAAAAGCCUCUAAGCAUCAGGUAACAUCAAAUCGUACCCCAAACCGACACAGGUGGUCAGGUAGAGAAUACCAAGGCGCUUGAGAGAACUCGGGUGAAGGAACUAGGCAAAAUGGUGCCGUAACUUCGGGAGAAGGCACGCUGGUGUGUAGGUGAAGUCCCUGCGGAUGGAGCUGAGACCAGUCGAAGAUACCAGCUGGCUGCAACUGUUUAUUAAAAACACAGCACUGUGCAAACACGAAAGUGGACGUAUACGGUGUGACGCCUGCCCGGUGCCGGAAGGUUAAUUGAUGGGGUUAUCCGUAAGGAGAAGCUCUUGAUCGAAGCCCCGGUAAACGGCGGCCGUAACUAUAACGGUCCUAAGGUAGCGAAAUUCCUUGUCGGGUAAGUUCCGACCUGCACGAAUGGCGUAAUGAUGGCCAGGCUGUCUCCACCCGAGACUCAGUGAAAUUGAACUCGCUGUGAAGAUGCAGUGUACCCGCGGCAAGACGGAAAGACCCCGUGAACCUUUACUAUAGCUUGACACUGAACAUUGAGCCUUGAUGUGUAGGAUAGGUGGGAGGCUUUGAAGCGUGGACGCCAGUCUGCGUGGAGCCAACCUUGAAAUACCACCCUUUAAUGUUUGAUGUUCUAACGUGGGCCCCUUAUCGGGGUUGCGGACAGUGUCUGGUGGGUAGUUUGACUGGGGCGGUCUCCUCCCAAAGCGUAACGGAGGAGCACGAAGGUUAGCUAAUCCUGGUCGGACAUCAGGAGGUUAGUGCAAUGGCAUAAGCUAGCUUGACUGCGAGCGUGACGGCGCGAGCAGGUGCGAAAGCAGGUCAUAGUGAUCCGGUGGUUCUGAAUGGAAGGGCCAUCGCUCAACGGAUAAAAGGUACUCCGGGGAUAACAGGCUGAUACCGCCCAAGAGUUCAUAUCGACGGCGGUGUUUGGCACCUCGAUGUCGGCUCAUCACAUCCUGGGGCUGAAGUAGGUCCCAAGGGUAUGGCUGUUCGCCAUUUAAAGUGGUACGCGAGCUGGGUUUAGAACGUCGUGAGACAGUUCGGUCCCUAUCUGCCGUGGGCGCUGGAGAAUUGAGGGGGGCUGCUCCUAGUACGAGAGGACCGGAGUGGACGCAUCACUGGUGUUCGGGUUGUCAUGCCAAUGGCACUGCCCGGUAGCUAAAUGCGGAAGAGAUAAGUGCUGAAAGCAUCUAAGCACGAAACUUGCCCCGAGAUGAGUUCUCCCUGAGACUUUAAGUCUCCUGAAGGAACGUUGAAGACGACGACGUUGAUAGGCCGGGUGUGUAAGCGCAGCGAUGCGUUGAGCUAACCGGUACUAAUGAACCGUGAGGCUUAACCUUACAACGCCGAAG
rnacentral:rRNA from 1 species